UACGUAGGGCGCAAGCGUUAUCCGUGAAUUAUUGGGCGUAAAGAGCUCGUAGGCGGUUUGUCGCGUCUGCCGUGAAAGUCCGGGGCUCAACUCCGGAUCUGCGGUGGGUACGGGCAGACUAGAGUGAUGUAGGGGAGACUGGAAUUCCUGGUGUAGCGGUGAAAUGCGCAGAUAUCAGGAGGAACACCGAUGGCGAAGGCAGGUCUCUGGGCAUUAACUGACGCUGAGGAGCGAAAGCGUGGGGAGCGAACAGG
rnacentral:rRNA from 1 species